UUUCCAUGGAAACAAGUGGAUCCAGGAUGCAGCCGAGCUCCCCUUUCUGGGGACUUGGAGACCACAAGGGCAGGGGCCCCGCAUGUGACAUGUCCCCUGGCAAAGGGCACCUCGCUGCCACUGUCACCCAGGGGACGGGCCUGGGCCCACGACUGUCCAGCACAUCUGGACGCUCCGUGUUGCUGACAGGGAGAGCGUGGGGCUGCAUCAGGCUGUGAACGUGUCAGAGGUCGGAGGCGAGGUUCCUCGUGGAUCCGCCUGGAAGCAGCUGCCGAGCAGGCUCUUCACGUUGGCAGGAUUGGCUGUGCCCUCGAAGGGACCUGGAAGGGCGUCUGUUCCAGGCUUUGGCCUCCCUCCUGUCUCUGGGGGAACGUCCUCGGCCAACCUCACUCUCUAUCAGAAGACGAACAAGAUCAGUCCUCGUUUGUCUGAGCUGCUCCCGUCCGGCCCGUCGAGGGGUAGAGGCCGACCUCGUUCUCCUCGCUGGACACCUGUCCCCAGUGCCCUGUCUGCCGGGGCCCCGCUGAGCCGCCAGGACGACGAGGCAAAGAAAGGACUUGGAGGGUCAGCUGGCGAGGGGGACAGGGCAGAGCUCCAGGAGGAAGAAGGACCCAGAAGCAGAGGACUGAGGUGGGAACUGGGGCUGGACAGGACCCACGCUGUGAAUCUUGAGCACACGCGGGCUCAGCAGGGAGGACAUUCACGCUCCAGAGCCAGCAGCAGCCGCCAGAGGUCCUGGGCUGAUCCGGAACCUGCCUGGGGUGUGACUCCUGAGAGACAACGCGUUCAGCACGCCCCUCCAGCUCCUGACACAGCCCAAAGCCCGCACCACAGAGGCCGGUGUCCUGCUGCCCCCACGGGACCAGGCUCCCCUUCCCCACCCCGAGACUUGCAGGAAGUCCUUUGUCGACUUCUUCCGAGUCUCCUGGGAACAAGAGA
rnacentral:lncRNA from 1 species